UAUGGACAGUUUAAGUUAGAUUAUGAAGUAAUUACACUUUAUCCUGUAGGAGAUGUGAAGUAUCUUUAUCUCUCUUGAAAUUUUGCUUGCUAAUAACAUUGCCACUGAAGAUCUCUUGGUUGCUGUUUGUGUGUCAUAUCUUUUUUCAGCCUCUUACUUUUAAGCUAUUCAUGUCUUUGAAUCUAAAGAAUACCAACUGUUGAUAGAAUAUAGUUAGUGGUUCCCUUCUUGUUCAUUCUGACAAUCUCUCCUUUGUAAGUAUUCUUAAUCACAUUUCAUAUAGUCUCUGAAAUGAUUGGAAUUCGCUGUUCCAUGUUGCUCAUUGUUUUCUCUCUCUUUCUCAAGUUGUGUUCCUCUGUUCUCAUUUAUUGCCUUCUUUUGUGUUGAACAAAUUUUUUUUUAGUACCAUAUUAGUCCCAGUGUUGAUUUAUUUCUUUUUAACAUUUUACUUAUUAAUUUUUAGAAGAGAGGGGAAGGGAAGGAGAAAGAGAGGGAAAUGUUGAUGUUGAAAGAGAAGCACCAAUCUGUUGCCUCUCCUAGGCACCCAACCAGGGACCAAAUCUGCACAACCCAG